CAAAAGAUAAGCUAAAUUAAGCUAAUGGGUUCAUACCCCGUCCAUGUGAGUUAAGUUCUCACUCUUUUUA
rnacentral:tRNA from 1 species